GAUGAACGCUGGCGGCGUGCCUAAUACAUGCAAGUCGAGCGAACAGAUGAGGAGCUUGCUCCUCUGACGUUAGCGGCGGACGGGUGAGUAACACGUGGAUAACCUACCUAUAAGACUGGGAUAACUUCGGGAAACCGGAGCUAAUACCGGAUAAUAUAUUGAACCGCAUGGUUCAAUAGUGAAAGACGGUUUUGCUGCCACUUAUAGAUGGAUCCGCGCCGCAUUAGCUAGUUGGUAAGGUAACGGCUUACCAAGGCAACGAUGCGUAGCCGACCUGAGAGGGUGAUCGGCCACACUGGAACUGAGACACGGUCCAGACUCCUACGGGAGGCAGCAGUAGGGAAUCUUCCGCAAUGGGCGAAAGCCUGACGGAGCAACGCCGCGUGAGUGAUGAAGGUCUUCGGAUCGUAAAACUCUGUUAUUAGGGAAGAACAAAUGUGUAAGUAACUAUGCACGUCUUGACGGUACCUAAUCAGAAAGCCACGGCUAACUACGU
rnacentral:rRNA from 1 species